UGAAUACGAGACGCUAAGGCGUCGAAGUAGUGUAUGUCAUACUUCCAAGAAAAGCUUGCACUGUCAUAGAUAAAAAACGCCUGUACCAUAACCGACACAGGUGGGUAGGUAGAGUAUACUAAGGGGCGCGAGAUAACUCUCUCUAAGGAACUCGGCAAAAUAACUCCGUAACUUCGGGAGAAGGAGUGCCUUAUUCUUAAGGUUGCAAUAACAAGAUCCAAGCAACUGUUUAUCAAAAACACAGGUCUCCGCUAAGUCGUAAGACGAUGUAUGGGGGCUGACGCCUGCCCAGUGCCAGAAGGCUAAAGAAGCUGGUUAGCAUUUGCGAAGCUAGUAACUGAAGCCCUGGUGAACGGCGGCCGUAACAAUAACGGUCCUAAGGUAGCGAAAUUCCUUGUCGGGUAAGUUCCGACCCGCACGAAAGGCGUAAUGAUUUGGAUACUGUCUCGGAGAGGGGCUCGGUGAAAUAGACUUGUCUGUGAAGAUGCGGACUACCUGCACCAGGACAGAAAGACCCUAUGAAGCUUUACUGUAACUUGAAAUUGAAAUUGGACUUUAUUCGCGCAGUAUAGGUGGGAGGCGUUGAUAUAAUCUUGCGGGAUUAUUGGAGCCAUUAGUGAGAUACCACUCUUGUAAUGUUAGAUUUCUAACUUUGAAUCAUUAUCUGGUCAAAGAACAGUUUCAGGCGGGCAGUUUGACUGGGGCGGUCGCCUCCCAAACGGUAACGGAGGCGUACAAAGGUUUCCUCUGAACGGUUAGAAAUCGUAUCUAGAGUGUAAGGCAUAAGGAAGCUUGACUGUGAGACCUACAAGUCGAGCAGGGACGAAAGUCGGUCUUAGUGAUCUGACGGUACUGAGUGGAAAGGCCGUCACUCAACGGAUAAAAGUUACUCUAGGAUAACAGGCUGAUCUCCCCCAAGAGUUCACAUCGACGGGGAGGUUUGGCACCUCGAUGUCGGCUCAUCGCAUCCUGGGGCGGUAGUACGUCCCAAGGGUUGGGCUGUUCGCCCAUGAAAGCGGUACGCGAGCUGGGUUCAGAACGUCGUGAGACAGUUCGGUCCAUAUCCGGUGUAGGCGUUAGAAUAUUGAGAGGGGCCUUCUUUAGUACGAGAGGACCGAGAAGGACAUACCUCUGGUGUACCAGUUAUCGUGCCAACGGUAGACGCUGGGUAGCUAUGUAUGGAGUGGAUAACCGCUGAAAGCAUCUAAGUGGGAAGCCCACCUCAAGAUAAGUAUUCUCAUC
rnacentral:rRNA from 1 species